rnacentral:lncRNA from 1 species
GCUACGGUUCCCUUCAUGCUCAACACCAAGCUCAGAGCCCUGGGUCUGGACACAACCCUCUGCAACUGGAUCCUGGACUUCCUGACUGGCUGACCACAGGCUGUGAGGAUUGGCAACAACACCUUCUCCACACUGAUUGACGAACACAGGCACUAUGGUGCCAUUAAAGCAACCUCUCCCUCAAUGUCAGGAAAACAAAGGAGUUGGUUGUCGUAGCAACACACAUGCCCCACCCACUUGAGGAUCUGUCUUUUUCAGCCAUCUAUUUCCUGUGUUUGAGGGGUGCAAAAUUCACUUGUCACUUAAAUCUUGCUGGAUUGAUUGCUUUCAUUUUCUUCCUGCGAUUCUUUCAAACUCUUGCUUGUGCCUGUUGUGUUUUUCUCGUUAUUGUUACGACUGCGAAAAUGUUUGAAAUGACCUGUCAAACACACCCCAGUCAUGGCUGAAAUGGGAAAAAUGGAAAACAAUGUCUUUCCGUUGCAUCUAUAAGAACACGAAAGCUUCUUUGGAGAUUCAACACAUCAUCUUGACACAUACACUACCAUUCAAAAGUUUGGGGUCACUUAGAAAUGCCAGCGUCCCGGAGUCACCUCUUCACUGUUGAUGUUGAGACUGGUGUUUUGUGGGUAUUAUUUAAUGAAGCUUCCAGUUGAGGACUUGUGAGGCGUCUAUUUCUCAAACUAGACACUGUAAUGUACUUGUCCUCUUGCUCAGUUGUGCACUGGGGCUUCCCACUACUCUUUCUAUUCUGGUUAGAGCCAGUUUGCGCUGUUCUGUGAAGGGAGUAGUACAAGGCGUUGUACCAGAUCUUCAAUUUCUUUGCAAUUUCUCGCACGGAAUAUAGCCGUAAAUUGUUUCUGGCCAUUUUUAGCCUGUAAUCGAACCCACAAAUGCUGAUGCUCCAGACACUCAAUUAGUCUAAAGAAGGCCAGGUUUAUUGUUUCUUUAAUCAGAACAACAGUUUUCAGCUGUGCUAACAUAAUUGCAAAAGGGUUUUCUAAUGAUCAAUUAGCCUUUUAAAAUGAUAAACUUGGAUUAGCUGUCACGACUUCCGCCGAAGUCGGCUCCUCUCCUUGUUCGGGCGGCGUUCGGCGAUCGACGUCACCGGCUUUCUAGCCAUCGUCGCUCCAUUUUUCAUAUGUCCAUUUGUUACGUCUUGUUCCAUACACACCUGGUUUUCAUUCCCCAAUCAAUCUACAUGUAUUUAGUCCUCUGUUCCCCAUCAUGUCUUUGUGUGUAAUUGUUCAUUGUUAAUGGUGUAUGUUCACGGGCGAUACUUUUAUAGUUUAUGUUCCGUGUUUUUGGGCACUUAUGUCAUUUUUUGUGCCUAUUGUUGAAUGGAAUACAAUUGUGCCUGUUUACUCUACUCUGCUCUCCUGCACCUGACUUCGCCUCCCUUACACAGCCUUAACAUUAGCUAACACAACGUGACAUUGGAACACAGGAGUGAUGGUUGCUGAUAAUGGGCGUCUGUAUGCCUAUGUAGAUAUUCCAUAAAAUAUCUGCCGUUUCCAGCUACAAUAGUCAUUUACAACGUUAACAAUGUCUACACUGUAUUUCUGAUCAAUUUUAUUUUAUUGGAGAAAAAAAAUGUGCUUUUCUUUAAAAAACAUUGACAUUUCUAAUUGAACCCAAGCUUUUGAACGGUAGUGUAGUGUACAUCACAAGAAAGAGAAGAAAGAUAUCUUAAUUUUAAUGUGUGUUCAUUUUCGGUGGAAAAGUAAUAAUGUGGUACAGUUUAAAUGUUUACAAAUUAGAUGCACC